GGUUCGAUCCUGGCUCAGAUUGAACGCUGGCGGGAUGCUUUACAAUACGCAAGUCGAACGGCAGCACGGACUUCGGUCUGGUGGCGAGUGGCGAAUGGUGAGUAAUGUAUCGGAACGCCUAGUAGCGGGGGAUAACUACGCCGAAAAGCGUAGCUAAUACUGCAUAUUGCACUUCCUUCAAAAGCGGGGACCUUCGGGCCUCGCACUAUUAGAGCGGCUGAUAUCGGAUUAGCUAGUUGGUGGGGUAACGGCUCACCAUACGACGAUCCGUAGCUGGUUUGAGAGGACGACCAGCCACACUGGGACUGGGAGAUAUUACCCAGACUCCUACGGAGGCAGCAGGGGAAUUUUGGAUUAAUGGGGGGAAACUCCUGAUCCAGCCAUCCCGCGUGUGCGGAUGAAGGCUCUCGGGUUGUGAAGCACUUUUUGGCAGGAAAGAAACGGCAUGGACACACCGUGCAACUGAUUGUACCUGCAGAAUAAGCACCGGCUAACUACGCCAGCAGUCAGUGUGAAUAUGUAGGUGCAGUGUGACCGGAAUUACUGGGCGUAAGUGCAGGUAUUCUGAAAGAAAGAUGUGAAAUCCCAGAGCUUAACUUUGGAACUGCAUUUUUAACUACCGAGCUAGAGUGUGUCAGAGGGAGGUGGAAUCUCGUGUAGCAGUGAAUGCGUAGAUAUGCGAUAAACAAUCGAUACAAGGCAGCCCCUGGGAUAACACUGAUGUCAGAUGCAAAGCGUGGGGAGUAAACAGGAUUAGAUACCCUGGUAGUCCACGCCCUAAACGAGUGUCAACUAGCUGUUGGGGCCCUUCGGGCCUUUGGUAGCGCAAAAAUAAUACAGUGAAGCCGACCGCCUGGGAGCGCCGGCCGCAAGAUUAAAACUCAAAGGAAUUUGAUGGUGGACCCGCACAAAGUGGGGACAGAUGUGGACAAUUUACGCAACGAAAAACCUUACCUUACCCUUGACAUGUCUUGGAAUCCCGAAGAGAUUGGGAGGCCUGCAAGAGAACCGGAACACAGGUGCACAGCCACGUCAAUGUCAGCUCGUGUCGUGAGAUGUUGGGUUAAGUCCUGCAACGAGCGUGCAACCCUGCACAAUUAGUUGCUACGAAAGGGCACCUGUAUCGACUGCCGGGUGACAAACCGGAGGAAGGUAAUGACGUCGGUCCUUAUGGCCCUGGCGGGUAGGCUUCACACACGGGCAGUAAUGGCUGGACAGAGGGUCGCCAACCCGCGAGGGGGAGCCAAUCCCAAGAAACCUGAUCGUAGUCCGGAUCGCAGUCUGCAACCUGACUGCGCAAGUCGGAAUCGCCAGUAAUCGCGGAUCAGCAUGCCGCGGUGAAUACGUCCCGGUCUUGUACACACUGCCCGUCACACCAUGGAGUGGGUUUUACCAGCAGUUAGCUCAACCGUAAGGAGGAAGUGACACACGUAGAUUCAAGAUCAGUGUCGUACCAAGGCAACCGACACACUGGAUGUCCAGGAGCAACAAUGCAAAUCAAACUAAAGC
rnacentral:rRNA from 1 species